AUGCACGCGCCCGUGGCCUUGCCCGCCAGGACGCGGAUUCUCAUUCUGACGCCGGCCCCUCAGCCGUAUCCGCGAGGACGUGGAAUCAGACAAAGGAAAACACAGGCACCAGGAGGGCAAGGCGGCCCCAAGCGGCGGCCAGACCGAGGGCCGGGUUCCCUGGAGGGUGAGCUCCACGCGGCUCUGCUGUGCGCGCCUGCCAGUCGGCUGACUCCUCAUUUCUGUUCUGUUGUUCACAGACACACCGAGCCCGCCCUGAUCCCUCCCACCCCCGCUGCUCCCUGUUGGCUCCACCGUGCCUAUCCCAGGCUGUCGGGCUGGGGCCUGUGCUCCAGACCACCCACAGUCAUUCAUUGAGGCAUUCAGCAACGACAACGUGGCGCGGUGGAGCAGGGGCGAAGGCGACAGACCAGCCCCACUCCUCACACAGCUCACACUACGUGACUGCAUAACCGACUAUUGAUAAAGCGCCUACUACGUGCCAGGCAGUGCGUCCUGACAGACCAGCACUGCCCCCACAGCACUCGCAAUCGGUUUAGCCAUUCGAACAAAUGAACAUCGAUAAAGCGCCUACUGUGUGCAGUGGUGACAGCCGAGGGGCACGGGGCGCCACCCUGCUCUCCAGGGCUCACAGCCAUAGGAGGGAGGCUGGGACAGACAAGGGACCCUGGUGUGACAUCCAUGUGCUUUGUGAUGCUCAGCGGGCCCCAGCCACACCUGGCCUGUUUCCAUGGCCACGAGACAGAUGGGG
rnacentral:lncRNA from 1 species